UACGAAGGGGCUAGCGUUGCUCGGAAUCACUGGGCGUAAAGGCGCGUAGGCGGCGUUUUAAGUCGGGGUGAAACCUGUGGCUCAACCACAGAAUGGCCUUCGAAUACUGGGACGCUUGAGUAUGGUAGAGGUUGGUGGAACUGCGAGUGUAGAGGCGAAAUUCGUAGAUAUUCGCAAGAACACCAGUGGCGAAGGCGGACUCACUGGCCCGGUACUGACGCUGAGGUGCGAAAGCGA
rnacentral:rRNA from 1 species